CUGUGAGCGCUGGUUAGCUCAGGUCCAGCCACAGAUCUCUUUAAAUAAUUCACAGGGAGUUAGGGAUUAAGACACUGUUUCUCUCUGUCUCUGUUGAGAUUUAAAACACCUCCAGCUGGGGUAUUUAAAGAGGGUAUAAUGGGCUGCCCCUCCUGGGUCUCUCCUCCUUACAGUAGUCAACAGAGCGUAUCACAGGCCCUGAAGGUGGUUCCAGAGGACAGCACAGGAGGAGGAGACUGGAAGCCCUCGCAGCACUUUUUUGAAAGUAAGAACUCAGGUAGAGUAUCCCUGAGGAUGGACACGAGCAGAGAUCUGAAGAUAAUAAAAGGAGAAGUCAAGAAUCAGUUUCUGGCCUUUAUAAAUGUGCUAAGAUUUGGACAGAGAAUGCACGUGUGUGCGUGGGGAAAGGAAAAGGGGUGAGAUCUGCUUGGCCAUGUUGAGACCGAUAUGCCCCAUUUUUGUGGUGAGAGUCAAAGACCUAUGAAAAUUUAGGAGCCUGGCAUGUUCCAGUCUUCCAGCACCAUGAAUUCUAAGGGAGAUUAAAUCUGUUUGCCCCAGCCACUCUGACAGACCAAUGAGUUUGCGCCAAUGGCACAUGAGUAAGAACCAUGCAUAAUAAACCUGCUGCCUCCUGCUCUUUGUGGGCAAGAUGAGAGAAGGCCUCUCACUUCAUGAGGAUGCAAGCACCCAGGGGGCAUCAAUCACCCUGGAGAAGAGCGGGGAGGAGAGCCUGCACGCCCAUGCAAAAUGACUCUCUGCAGCCCUAAUGAAGGCCGGCGAUGGAUGGUGGCCCAGGCUCGUUAAUCAGAAGGAAUACGCUGCCAUCUGCCUCUCCCUGCCAGGCCCUCCUGGGCCCUCAGUCCUGAUUGAUCUGUG
rnacentral:lncRNA from 1 species